rnacentral:rRNA from 1 species
AUUGAACGCUGGCGGCAGGCCUAACACAUGCAAGUCGAGCGAGCGGCGGACGGGUGAGUAAUGUAUGGGGACUGCCCGAUAGAGGGGGAUAACUACUGGAAACGGUGGCUAAUACCGCAUCCUAUCGGAUAACCCAUAUGGGAUUAGCUAGUAGGUGGGGUACAGGCUCACCUAGGCGACGAUCUCUAGCUGGUCUGAGAGGAGUAUCAGCCACACUGGGACUGAGACACGGCCAAUAUUCCUACGGAGGCAGCAGUGGGGAUUAUUGCAAAAGGGGCGCAAGCCUGAUGCAGCCAUGCCGCGUGUAUGAAGAAGUCCUUAGGGUUGUAAAGUACUUUCAGCGGGGCGGCGUUACCCGCAGAAGAAGCACCGGCUAACUCCGUGCCAGCAGCCGCGGUAAUAC